rnacentral:rRNA from 1 species
AGGGAACGCUGGCGGUCUUCCUAGCACAUGCAAGUCGAACGGCAGCACAGUAAGAGCUUGCUCUUACGGGUGGCGAGUGGCGGACGGGUGAGGAAUACAUCGGAAUCUACUUUUUCGUGGGGGAUAACGUAGGGAAACUUACGCUAAUACCGCAUACGACCUACGGGUGAAAGCAGGGGAUCUUCGGACCUUGCGCGAUUGAAUGAGCCGAUGUCGGAUUAGCUAGUUGGCGGGGUAAAGGCCCACCAAGGCGACGAUCCGUAGCUGGUCUGAGAGGAUGAUAAGCCACACUGGAACUGAGACACGGUCCAGACUCCUACGGGAGGCAGCAGUGGGGAAUAUUGGACAAUGGGCGCAAGCCUGAUCCAGCCAUACCGCGUGGGUGAAGAAGGCCUUCGGGUUGUAAAGCAAUUUGGUUGGGAAAGAAAAGCAGCAGGUUAAUACCCCGCUGUUCUGACGGUACCCAAAGAAUAAGCACAGGCUAACUUCGGG